AUUGAACGCUGGCGGCAUGCCUUACACAUGCAAGUCGAACGGCAGCACGGACUUCGGUCUGGUGGCGAGUGGCGAACGGGUGAGUAAUACAUCGGAACGUGCCCAGUAGUGGGGGAUAACUAUUCGGAAGAGUAGCUAAUACCGCAUACGACCUACGGGUGAAAGUGGGGGAUCGCAAGACCUCAUGCUAUUGGAGCGGCCGAUGUCAGAUUAGCUGGUUGGUGAGGUAAAAGCUCACCAAGGCGACGAUCUGUAGCUGGUCUGAGAGGACGACCAGCCACACUGGGACUGAGACACGGCCCAGACUCCUACGGGAGGCAGCAGUGGGGAAUUUUGGACAAUGGACGCAAGUCUGAUCCAGCCAUGCCGCGUGCGGGAAGAAGGCCUUCGGGUUGUAAACCGCUUUUGUCAGGGAAGAAAAGGCUCCUUCUAAUAUAGGGGGCUCAUGACGGUACCUGAAGAAUAAGCACCGGCUAACUACGUGCCAGCAGCCGCCGCAG
rnacentral:rRNA from 1 species